AUAAAUAAAGAAGGAAGAAGAAGAAAAGAUGAACACGCGGUUGCGGUUUGUUUAUGUUAACUGCUAUUAACGGUAUAAAAUUACGGAGUUCCGCGGGAUUCCGUAAAGUUUCAAUGGAAGUCGCAAUCGCAACAAUAUCCUAUCCAUUCAUACCUUGUUUAUCCCUUUCUAUCCGGUAUUAGGGAUUUCGAUUUCGGUUUUUCGAUUUCGGUUUCGAUUUCGGCAUGUUUCUAUGUUUUGAUGUUUGUAGUUUGAUUUUUUGCCGAGUAUGGUGACGCCAGAGAGCUGGAUUUCUGUUUGGAUCGAUCGAUUUCUCUCUUGUUUGGGGAGCACCAAAUGUGCACCUGCUAUCUCCGGGAAUAAUCUGAAUUCUAGGAUGCCAAGCAUGUCAGAAGAUUUUUGGAGCACAAGCACGUGUGAUCUCGAUGAGUUGAUUACGCUUCAAUCUCGACAGAGCUCAUUUAUCAGCAUAAUAAAUCACAACCCUAAACAUGGAGGUGGCACUGACGAUCUGAGCAAUCAUUCUGACUUUGUAAAUCAUGGUUUGAUUCUUUGGACUCAGACCAGGCUUCAAUGGAUCGGAAAUUAUGAGCCUGCGAAACGAACCAAAAAAAAUCAUUUUACAGGAUUAAGUUGGUAUAUGACCAAAGACCUCUUGCUGGAAAACAAAAAACCUUUUCCUCGGCCCAUACCUUUAUCUGAAAUGGUAGACUUUCUGAUAGAAGAAUGGGAAGAAGAAGGGCUGUAUUAUUGAGCCAAUCAAUGGAAAUAAAACGCCAUCACCUUGUACAUACACCAUGUUUGUGACUUUUUCAGAGUUUAAUUAAACGGCCACUGCCUUAACUUGGGAUCAAUUCGGUAUUAACAAACAAAAUGACACCACCUGGUUGGCGGUACAUUGAAGAUCUCUAGGGGAGAAGCCAAGUGUGGAAUAAACUGAAAUCCAAGUUCUUCUGAACGAUCGGCGAGCUAAACGCAGUCAGAUUCAAAGUAUGAUAGUGGCCUGCAUAGAGAUAGUUCCCGGUAAAAUUUUCAUUUUCUAUAGUUGUUAUAUAAUCUCUAUGCAUAGAAAUAUAAUGGUAUUCAUUAUGAGUUUGUACGUUGCAGUGGUCUGAUUCGAAGUAUGAUAGUGGCUUGCAUAGAGAUAACUCCCGGUAAAAUUUUCAGUGUUUAGGGUCAAUAACUUAUCUUAUGAGAUGAGUUGAAGUACUCAUAGUACUCGUAGCUAGGUUUUAUAAAGGUGAAAAACUACUUAGAUGGUGUACGGAAAAAGAUAUCAAUUUCUAACUAUUGCAUAGAGAUAACUCCUGGUAAAAUUUUCAUUUUCUAUAGUUGUUAUAUAAUCUCUAUGCAUAGAAAUAUAAUGGUAUUCAUUAUGAGUUUGUACGUUGCAAUGGUCAGAUUCAAAGUAUGAUAGUAGCUUGCAUAGAGAUAACACCCGGUAAAAUUUUCAGUGUUUAGGGUCAAUAACUUAUCAUCUUAUGAGACCAAUUGAAGUACUCAGAGUACUCGUAGCUAGGUUUUAUAAAGGUGAAAUACUACUUAGAUGAUGUACGGAAAAAGAUUUCAAUUUCCGACGCUUGCAUAGAGAUAACUCCUGGUAAAAUUUUCAGUGUUUAGGGUCAAUAACUUAUCUUAUGUGAUGAGUUGAAGUACUCAUAGUACUCGUAGCUAGGUUUUAUAAAAGUGAAAAACUACUUAGAUGAUGUACGGAAAAAGAUUUCAAUUUCCGACUAUUGCAUAGAGAUAACUCCCGGUAAAAUUUUCAGUGUUUAGGGUCAAUAACUUAUCUUAUGAGAUGAGUUGAAGUACUCAUAGUACUCGUAGCUAGGUUUUAUAAAGGUGAAAAACUACUUAGAUGGUGUACGGAAAAAGAUAUCAAUUUCUAACUAUUGCAUAGAGAUAACUCCUGGUAAAAUUUUCAUUUUCUAUAGUUGUUAUAUAAUCUCUAUGCAUAGAAAUAUAAUGGUAUUCAUUAUGAGUUU